CACACACACGCACCUGGUUACAUCCCUGGCAAAGGCAGCUGCUUGCACCUGCUUGCCGAGUUUUGCUGAAGGAACAGGAUGGAGGUUACAAGCUGACUAGAGAUGGAGGCGUUCCUGAACAUCCCUCCGAGAAGGUUGGGGUAUAAAGAGAAUAAACGAAGCUGUGUCCACAGUGUGGGCUGGAAUUCCUGCCGUCUGGUAACAGCAGUGUAAGAACACUAAGCAAGCUGCUCUCAUUUGGAGGUGACUCUUUUUUCAGCAUCGUUGAAGAUAUUACAAGUGAAAAAACCCACCAUUUUCCACAAAACAGUCAUGGGCAGAAAAGAAAAAGGAGAACAACUUUAAUGUUACCAGCUCUUCCAGUUCUCUGGAUUCUCAAAGUCAGAAGGGAGCCCUCAGCUUUGGGGAAGCGCUUGAGGCUAUCUUCCUGUGAUCGACAAUCAACAUCUAGGUCUGGGCAGAGCUUGGUUCCAGAUGGGUGUGUUUUACUAAGCAUCCUCUUUCAGCUACUUCUCAAGGUGAGUGGUGUCUGCCUGAGCAGGGAAAGCAGCCCAGCAGAGGGGUGGGGGCAUGGAGGAAUGGGGCCCUAGCAGAGGAUGUCCGCAGCAGACAAGGCAGGAGGGCGUCUGUCUGUGUGGGAGGUAAAGGGGACAAGGAGCCCCUGCUAAAUGAGAAAAGUGUUCCAAAGCAGGGCACAGUGGCAGUGUGGGCUGCUCAGUCAUAGAGGAGGGCUUCUUAGCAGGUUGUUUGCACACAUGUGAAUGGUGAAUGAUGGGAGCCAGGUACCUUACUGUCGUAGGAGGAAGUUAUAAAUAUGGAGAGGUUGGUAAAGAUGCAUGUGUUUGUGUACACUCACCCACAUUUUAUGAAUCUGAUUGUAAGUACCUGGAUGUGAUUGUAAAUAUAUAUAUGUAUAUAUAUAUAUAUAUAUAUAUAUAUAUAUUUCAAAUAAUGAUGAAAAAUUAGAAGCAGUUGGUAUGUUCAAGGUUGGAGGAUUAGCAGAAAAUAAAUACAUUUUAGAGACUACCCCGAUAGGAAGA
rnacentral:lncRNA from 1 species